CCCCACCCCCGCCUCCUAGCUUGGUCUACCUAACUCUUCAAGUCCUGCUCUGGCAAUUCCUUCCCGUUCCUCCUCCCUCUCCAGUUUCUGUCACAGAGCCAGCCUGAAAACAGGAGGGGGCUGAUUUUUGCCAGCUGCAGAAAAUUUACAUUUGAAAUUCUUGGAACUCUUGAGAGGGCCUGGGGCAACUGUUAUUCCCCCCUGGCGCUGCCCCUGCAGCUGCUGAUCUCUGCUGCUGCUGUUGCUGUUGUUGCUGCUGCUGCUGCUUCUGCUGCUCCCCACUGCUGCUGCCUCCCUCUGUUGUGUUUGCUGCUUUUGCUAUUGCUGGACUGCUGGGUUGCUGUUUGCUGGUUUGCUGCUUGGAGAUAUCCUGACGAAGAUUGGACUUCCUCCUAGAAACUCGAUGGCCCUAAGUAAUGGGUGAAUCAUGAAUAGGUUCACAACGCUGUGCCUCAGACAUGGAGAACGGGCGACUUGGAAGAGCUAAUCAAGGACAGCCUGCAGGGAAUGAAUGUUUGCUUGUAUGUUUCGGAGUUUGAAAAACUAUACAUUCAAGUCUGAAAGAGAUGUUGGAGUAGGCACAAAAAUCAAUACAAAAUACUAAGCAAAUGUGUUUGUAUGGUAUAACUUAAACAAACAAACAAACAAAGCCAGCAGUGAUGGCACAUGCCUUUUAUCUCAGCACUCAGGAGGCAGCAGCAGGCAGAUCUCUGAGUUUGAGGCCAAUCUGGUCUACCAGGACUACACAGACAGACCGUCUCAAAAACAACAACAACAACAAAUUCUAAAGUUGUACCAACCGUUAAACAAGCCCAGUCAGAAGUAAGCAAUAUUCACAUUACCAG
rnacentral:lncRNA from 1 species